rnacentral:sRNA from 1 species
UUCCAUCAAUUAUCUUAUUUCACCUUCAUAGCCAGCCUUGGAAGUGGACUUAAGUGGGUCUGUAUGGCAGACAAGGUCCUUGAGGAUUAGAUAACUGGAGUCUCUAGGGUAGGCCUAAGCCACACAGCAAGGCAGGUCCAGGGCUAGGAUUUGAACCCAAGCCUCAGUCCUGAAGGAUGCCCAAGGAACAUAGAUGCUGACACGCCACACUUCUCUUCCUUCCAGGCAAACACGAAGAGAAACAGCAAGAAGGUGGCAUCGUUUCUAAGAACUUCACAAAGAAAAUCCAGCUUCCUGCAGAGGUGGAUCCUGUGACAGUAUUUGCCUCACUUUCCCCAGAGGGUCUGCUGAUCAUCGAAGCUCCCCAGGUCCCUCCUUACUCAACAUUUGGAGAGAGCAGUUUCAACAACGAGCUUCCC